CUUCCUGAUGUACUCGCCUAUUCCUGGCACAAAUUUUUCAACCAACAAAAGUCGAAUAAUUCAGUUAAAAAGCCUAUUUACUUUUCAUUUAUUAGUUUGUUUGCAAAAGAUGUCUGAAUUCUUGAGGAAACAUAUUGCAUCUGAAUGUAAUGGUGGCUUUUGCAGAUGACUUGCGCAGGAAAACAGUCAAAAUUACUUUGAAUGUGCUUAAUCC
rnacentral:lncRNA from 1 species